AGAGUAAUAGCUCAGUGGUAGAGGGUGUGCUUAGCAUGCACGAGGUCCUGGGUUCAACCCCAAUACCUCCA
rnacentral:tRNA from 1 species